AUUGAACGCUGGCGGCAUGCCUUACACAUGCAAGUCGAACGGCAGCGGGGGAGAAGCUUGCUUUUCCUGCCGGCGAGUGGCGAACGGGUGAGUAAUACAUCGGAACGUGCCCUGUAGUGGGGGAUAACUAGUCGAAAGAUUAGCUAAUACCGCAUACGACCUGAGGGGGAAAGUGGGGGACCGCAAAGCCUCAUGCUAUAGGAGCGGCCGAUGUCUGAUUAGCUAGUCGGUGGGGUAAAGGCCUACCAAGGCGACGAUCAGUAGCUGGUCUGAGAGGACGAUCAGCCACACUGGGACUGAGACACGGCCCAGACUCCUACGGGAGGCAGCAGUGGGGAAUUUUGGACAAUGGGCGAAAGCCUGAUCCAGCAAUGCCGCGUGUGUGAAGAAGGCCUUCGGGUUGUAAAGCACUUUUGUCCGGAAAGAAAUGGCUCUGGUUAAUACCUGGGGUCGAUGACGGUACCGGAAGAAUAAGGACCGGCUAACUACGUGCCAGCCGCCGCAGUAA
rnacentral:rRNA from 1 species